rnacentral:lncRNA from 1 species
AUUUUAGCAUACUCACUGUUUGUGACAUUUUAAAGUUUGUGAAUGAACUUUAUUAUAUACAUAAGAAGUUCACAACAAUGAUAGACCAAGGCAUCCUCCUUUCUUAAGGUGUUAGUUGUGGGGGUGUGGUGCAGCUUUGAUGGACACACAUGCUCACAGGGGUCUCAUCUUACACUGAGGGGUACAAGGAAACUCAAGCCCUCUGCAUUUCUUCUCACAUUCUCACAUCCACAAAAGAACAUUUAGAAAAAUAAAAUAAAAUUAAUUUAAUUUUAAAAUGAAUGUAAUGUGCUUAGUGGUAAGCAGACUUUUGUCUGCAUGUCUCAAACCUCAGGAGUGUGCCACAAUAAACAUUUAUUUUGGGUCAUGUGUCUGUAAGUUGUCUGGGUGGUUUUAGGGAUCAACACUAGAUUCAACAAAGCUCAUUCAUCUGUGUGUGGUUAGCUGCAGGUUAGCGAGGUAGCCUUUCUGAUGUCAGAUGGGCGUUCUUACACAUGAGGGUCUGCAAUAGCUGACCGGGUCUCAUCCUCCAGCAGGCUACUCUGAGGAUAUUUUCUUGGCAGGGACAGAAAAGAGAGAGAGCGCAGAGUGCAAGAGUGAGAGAGUGAAGGGGGAGGUGGGGAGAUACCCUGAGGCAUAGCCUCAACUCUGGCACACUGUCACUUCUGCCAUAUUCAAUUGGCCAAAACAAAUUAUAAAUUCAGGUCAGAUUCAAGGAAUGUAGAAACAGAUUCCACUUCAAGAUUGGAAAAGCUGCAAAAUCACAUUGCAAAGAAUGUAGAUACAGCAGAGAGUGGGGGUGCAUUGCAGAAGGGGGGCCCUUUUUGCACUCAAUAUGGCACACUUGGAGGCCUGAAGCCCAACAUUUAAUGCAUGUUCCUUCUGAGAAUGAGUCACGGCUGCAAAGCUGGAUCUCAGUGCAAUUUCCCCGUAGGCCUAGAAUAGUGAUAUGCUCUCUAAUUUCCUCUUCAUCCUCCAUGGUACCUAUCAUGUUCUCUCAUCCAUGGCCUUUCUCCUUGGUCAUGUUCAUCCAAAGAUGUUUCCUGUAUACAAGGACCCAAUUAACACAGCUAACAAUAGAAAGGCACAGGCACUCUUCUAUCAGAAUGGAC